UCCGAAUUAGUGUAGGGGUUAACAUAACUCGCUUUCAUCGAUCCAUUCAUCUGUUCAUUCAGCUGUAUGAUCAUUGAUCCGAGUAGCCCCGGGUUCGAUUCCCGGAUUCGGAA